rnacentral:rRNA from 1 species
GAUGAACGCUGGCGGCGUGCCUAAUACAUGCAAGUCGAGCGAACGGACGAGAAGCUUGCUUCUCUGAUGUUAGCGGCGGACGGGUGAGUAACACGUGGAUAACCUACCUAUAAGACUGGGAUAACUUCGGGAAACCGGAGCUAAUACCGGAUAAUAUUUUGAACCGCAUGGUUCAAAAGUGAAAGACGGUCUUGCUGUCACUUAUAGAUGGAUCCGCGCUGCAUUAGCUAGUUGGUAAGGUAACGGCUUACCAAGGCAACGAUGCAUAGCCGACCUGAGAGGGUGAUCGGCCGCACUGGAACUGAGACACGGUCCAGACUCCUACGGGAGGCAGCAGUAGGGAAUCUUCCGCAAUGGGCGAAAGCCUGACGGAGCAACGCCGCGUGAGUGAUGAAGGUCUUCGGAUCGUAAAACUCUGUUAUUAGGGAAGAACAUAUGUGUAAGUAACUGUGCACAUCUUGACGGUACCUAAUCAGAAAGCCACGGCUAACUACGUGCCAGCAGCCGCGGUAAUACGUAGGUGGCAAGCGUUAUCCGGAAUUAUUGGGCGUAAAGCGCGCGUAGGCGGUUUUUUAAGUCUGAUGUGAAAGCCCACGGCUCAACCGUGGAGGGUCAUUGGAAACUGGAAAACUUGAGUGCAGAAGAGGAAAGUGGAAUUCCAUGUGUAGCGGUGAAAUGCGCAGAGAUAUGGAGGAACACCAGUGGCGAAGGCGACUUUCUGGUCUGUAACUGACGCUGAUGUGCGAAAGCGUGGGGAUCAAACAGGAUUAGAUACCCUGGUAGUCCACGCCGUAAACGAUGAGUGCUAAGUGUUAGGGGGUUUCCGCCCCUUAGUGCUGCAGCUAACGCAUUAAGCACUCCGCCUGGGGAGUACGACCGCAAGGUUGAAACUCAAAGGAAUUGACGGGGACCCGCACAAGCGGUGGAGCAUGUGGUUUAAUUCGAAGCAACGCGAAGAACCUUACCAAAUCUUGACAUCCUUUGACAACUCUAGAGAUAGAGCCUUCCCCUUCGGGGGACAAAGUGACAGGUGGUGCAUGGUUGUCGUCAGCUCGUGUCGUGAGAUGUUGGGUUAAGUCCCGCAACGAGCGCAACCCUUAAGCUUAGUUGCCAUCAUUAAGUUGGGCACUCUAAGUUGACUGCCGGUGACAAACCGGAGGAAGGUGGGGAUGACGUCAAAUCAUCAUGCCCCUUAUGAUUUGGGCUACACACGUGCUACAAUGGACAAUACAAAGGGCAGCGAAACCGCGAGGUCAAGCAAAUCCCAUAAAGUUGUUCUCAGUUCGGAUUGUAGUCUGCAACUCGACUACAUGAAGCUGGAAUCGCUAGUAAUCGUAGAUCAGCAUGCUACGGUGAAUACGUUCCCGGGUCU